UCCUGUGUAUUCUGUGGCCUGGGGUCCAGACUCAGACAGAAUCCUCUACACCUCAGGGAGGCAGCUAGUCAUCAAGCCUUUGCAACCCAGUGCCAAAGUCAUACAGUGGAAGGCCCAUGAUGGGGUUGUUCUGAAGGUGGACUGGAAUUCAGUUAAUGACCUCAUAUUGUCAGGUGGAGAAGACUGCAAAUAUAAGGUGUGGGACAGCUUUGGCCGUGUGCUUUACUCGUCGUCGUCUCAUGACUACCCAGUCACCUCUUUGUCCUGGGCUCCAGAUGGAGAGUUGUUCGCUGUGGGCUCCUUCAACACCCUGCGGCUCUGUGACAAG